rnacentral:rRNA from 1 species
CGUUCGACGAUUUUCCGGUUGAUCCUGCCAGAGGGUUACUGCUAUCGAGAUUCGACUAAGCCAUGCGAGUUGAAUGUUCUUCGUGAACAUGGCGGACUGCUCAGUAACACGUGGACAACCUACCCUUUCGGUCCGGGAUAAUCCUGGGAAACUGGGGAUAAUACCGGAUGGGCCACAUAUGCUGGAAUGCUCUGUGGCCGAAAGCUUUUGCGCCGAAGGAUGGGUCUGCGGCCUAUCAGGGUAGUAGUGGGUGUAACGUACCUACUAGCCUACGACGGGUACGGGUUGUGAGAGCAAGAGCCCGGAGAUGGAUUCUGAGACACGAAUCCAGGCCCUACGGGGUGCAGCAGGCGCGAAAACUUUACAAUGCGGGAAACCGUGAUAAGGGGAUCUCGAGUGCCAGCAUAUAAUGUUGGCUGUCCAGAUGCCUAAAAAGCAUCUGUUAGCAAGGGCCGGGCAAGACCGGUGCCAGCCGCCGCGGUAACACCGGCGGCCCGAGUGGUAACCGCUAUUAUUGGGUCUAAAGGGUCUGUAGCCGGCCAGGUAAGUCCCUUGGGAAAUCUGGCAGCUCAACUGUCAGGCUGCUAGGGGAUACUGUUUGGCUUGGGACCGGGAGAGGUGAGAGGUACCUUGGGGGUAGGGGUGAAAUCUUGUGAUCCUCGGGGGACCACCAGUGGCGAAGGCGUCUCACCAGAACGGGUCCGACGGUAAGGGACGAAAGCUAGGGGCACGAACCGGAUUAGAUACCCGGGUAGUCCUAGCCGUAAACGAUGCUCGCUAGGUGUCAGUCACGGUGCGACCGUGAUUGGUGCCGUAGGGAAGCCGUGAAGCGAGCCACCUGGGAAGUAUGGCCGCAAGGCUGAAACUUAAAGGAAUGGGCGGGGGGGCAC